rnacentral:rRNA from 1 species
GACGAACGCUGGCGGCGUGCCUAAUACAUGCAAGUCGAGCGGACGAAUCGAAAGCUUGCUUUUGAUUCGUUAGCGGCGGACGGGUGAGUAACACGUGGGCAACCUGCCCUGUAGACGGGGAUAACACCGAGAAAUCGGUGCUAAUACCGGAUAACACGAAAUGUCGCAUGACGUUUCGUUGAAAGACGGCGCAAGCUGUCGCUACAGGAUGGGCCCGCGGCGCAUUAGCUAGUUGGUGAGGUAACGGCUCACCAAGGCGACGAUGCGUAGCCGACCUGAGAGGGUGAUCGGCCACACUGGGACUGAGACACGGCCCAGACUCCUACGGGAGGCAGCAGUAGGGAAUCUUCCGCAAUGGACGAAAGUCUGACGGAGCAACGCCGCGUGAGCGAAGAAGGCCUUCGGGUCGUAAAGCUCUGCUGUUAGGGAAGAACAAGUAACGCAGUAACUGGCGUUACCGUGACGGUACCUAACGAGAAAGCCACGGCUAACUACGUG